AACGGGUAAGGGUACCCAACGUCAACACUAGCAUCAAAGGUGUAGACCAUAAAUAAAGUAUUUUGAGGGGUAAUGACCUAGCAAAAUCGGUAACACGCAUAAAAGGUAAACUAUAGACCAAUUUUGAAAUAAUAUCACCAAAACUGAUAAUUACAAGCAAGGAUACCAUGGUGUAUAAGGCUACAAUUCUCAAUAAGAUUUCAAUAUUGUAAUGUAUACAUUAGAAAUACUCCAUUGGUUAUGAUAUCUUGUCAAGUUUUGAUAUCCAUGUACUCAGGGUUUGGCUAUUAACAAAUUUCGUAUAUAUGCGGGGAUAUAAAAACUAUAAGUUUUUAUUAGGUUUUAAAAAUAUGAUCACAUAUUAAAAUGUGGUCCAAGUAGCCUCUUGAGUCUUGAAUAUUAUGGUGCCGUCCAAAAUGAUAAGUAGUUGUGAGUUUGUGACUAGAAAACAAUUAUUACGUAUUAAAAUUGACCCGAGCAUAUCAUAAAAUCAUUUCGAAUAAAAUGUUAUGUAUUUAUACAAAUUUUCUUACCCUCAUCAAUUUAUCUUUCCAAUAAACUUAAAAGUAAAAUAUUAUAUUCUUAUUAUCAGGACAAGUCUUAACCUUUUGUUAAACUUGAAUCUUUAGAAUUUUCUUCCUCUUUCUUUGAUUCCCCCCAUUUACUACAACCAUCCACCUUGUUUCUCCACCAUUCUUUGUACUCAACAAUCAUAGGUAAAGAAACAUAUAUGAAACAUCAUGAAAUAAUUUAUGUUGGUUCUUCUUUCAAAUUUCAUCACAUUCCCUUAACUUGACCCUUUUUUGUCCUAAUGUUAUCCUCCUUCCAAAUCCAUUGCCUUUGCUCCUAAUUUUCAUGUGACAGAUCAAACUAAAUCAUUAUAAAAUAUUCCAAUCGAAG
rnacentral:lncRNA from 1 species